rnacentral:lncRNA from 1 species
UACCGGAUUGACGAACAACUUCUUGAAAAUUGAAAAUCGUUGUAAUUGAACACUUGAAAACUUCAAUUCAACAACUUCACAAUGUUUCACGAAUUUGGAACAAAAAUUAAGCACUUGCACUAGAAAGAUUGAAAGAGAGCUUGAGAGAGAUUGAGAGAGAUUGAUGAAUUGGGGAAUAAAAAUGAAAGAAUGAGGGGGUAUUUAUGGUUGAGAAAUGAGAAAUAGUGUAAUUAUAUAAAGUUUGGGGGCCAAAUGGCUAUUUUUUAAACUUCCAAACGGCUAC